GAACCACCCAAGCUGGCAAAAGGAACAGGAGGGAGGAAGGAGCAGCAGAGACAAAAUGUUAUGGAAUGACCACAGUCCCCAUUCCCUAUCCGCUGCACUUCUCAGGGGAAGGAGAAGGGGAGCAAGAGCAGCUUGGUGGGUUCCUGCAGCUAGCCAAAGUUAACCCACCACAGAAAAUACACCCGAGUAGGUGAGCUUUCCUUCAUCAGUGAGAACAUGCAUUUUAAAACAUCAAGAAAUUGGUUACUUUGCCAAAAGGGAGACCUAAUGCAAUGACUUCUGCUCCAGUAACAUCACUUGGAAUUUGACGAAUAUGAAGGACACGUGAAGGUUCAAAAUGGACAAGAUAUCCUUGACUUUACUAAGUUACUUGACUUAAAGUUAACUUAUGCAGCCAUUGGCCAUUAAUACUUCAAGACCACCUAUGCUGGAAGUACCACUAAAGGAAGCAGUUCCUAGCUUUCUCUCAGUUUCUUGUCUGAUCUAAAACUAUAGGUAGACAUACACAUUUGCCGCAUCUUUCUCAACACAUGAAGAGGGCAGAGCAUAAGUUUCUUCGCACGGUAGUAUAGUUUAACAUGUCUGAAGAAACAUGUGGCUGUGGUUUCACAGUGAGCCAUCACAUAGCUUUAAUGAACCCAGUUUCCUUACCCUGCAUCUGCCUAUCCAACUUCCCACCACUUUCCCAACAAAACCCCAUUCUGUUGGUUUUGCACUACAUAUCUGAACAAUAAUCUGUGUCAAAUCUAGAAAACAUCUGAUCAGGAGAAAAAAAGUAGUAUUUUUUUUACUGCUUUCCUUACAAAAACGUUACCAUCCAUCUCAACCCAUGGAGAGAUUGCCUGGGGACAAGAACUGGCAGCAAACAUCUGAAACCAAAUCACAGGACUGUCUGUGUUGCUCCUCAAAAAGUUCUAGAGGUAGUGUAGAAAGCAAGAACAAGAACACCAAGGGGAAUCAGCUGAAUUUUUUAUCGUGAAUCCACAUAAUGUUCCUUAUGUUCCACCAAACUCAG